GACGAACGCUGGCGGCGUGCUUAACACAUGCAAGUCGAACGGAAAGGCCCUGCUUGCAGGGUACUCGAGUGGCGAACGGGUGAGUAACACGUGGGUGAUCUGCCCUGCACUUCGGGAUAAGCCUGGGAAACUGGGUCUAAUACCGGAUAGGAGCCAUUUUUAGUGUGAAGGUUGGAAAGUUUUUUCGGUGUAGGAUGAGCUCGCGGCCUAUCAGCUUGUUGGUGGGGUAAUGGCCUACCAAGGCGGCGACGGGUAGCCGGCCUGAGAGGGUGGACGGCCACAUUGGGACUGAGAUACGGCCCAGACUCCUGCGGGGGGCAGCAGUGGGGAAUAUUGCACAAUGGGCGCAAGCCUGAUGCAGCGACGCCGCGUGGGGGAUGACGGCCUUCGGGUUGUAAACUCCUUUCGCUAGGGACGAAGCUUUUUGUGACGGUACCUAGAUAAGAAGCACCGGCUAACUACGUG
rnacentral:rRNA from 1 species